UACGAAGGGUGCAAACGUUAUUCGGAGUGAUUGGGCGUAAAGGGUGUGUAGGCGGUCUCGUGUGUCUGGCGUGAAAGCCCCGGGCUCACCCCGGGAAGUGCGUUGGAAACUGCGAGACUAGAGUUCCGGAGAGGAAGGUGGAAUUCCAGGUGUAGCGGUGAAAUGCGUAGAUAUCUGGAAGAACACCGGUGGCGAAGGCGGCCUUCUGGACGGUGACUGACGCUGAGACGCGAAAGCGUGGGGAGCAAACAGG
rnacentral:rRNA from 1 species